GUUUUUCCGUGUCUGAAGAUCAUAAAUAAUUAACAUAUAUUAUAAGCUGAUCAGUAGGCCUCAGGACUUGAUUACUGUCAAGAUUCCUAAUGCUUCAAAAUUAGUGAAUAUAAUAUAUAUUAAUGAAACACAUGCAAUGUCAUUUCCCAAAAAUAGGACCCUAAAACAUAGAAAAAUGAGUAAAUAUUAAAAAAUGGGAUAUAAACAUAAAUUGCAGACAACACUUCACUUUUUCUGCCUUUAUGGGAUAAUAAAUAAUCACAAAUUUCCCAUGAUUUUAAUGGAUUAACAAUAAUUUACUAGCCAGCACGAACGAAUUAAUACUUUCUUCCUUGUCUGAAGAUCAGAACAAACUCCAGCCUAGCACUGUGACUACGUACUAGUAUUUUAUUCACACCGGAGCUUACGGUUGGGAGACAUUUCAUUAAUGAGUAAGCUAUAUAUGAAUUAAUUCAAUUUCAUGUCUGUCAAGAUUCCUCACUCUUCAAU
rnacentral:lncRNA from 1 species